UUCUUAAAGUUUUAAUUUUAAGUACAACCUGCUCAAUGUUAAAUCUAAAUAGCCGCAGAUCCUCUGUGCUAAGGUAGCAUAAUAAUUUGCUUUCUAAUUAAAAGAUAGAAUGAAGGGUUAAACGGUAAAAAACUGUUUCAUAAAAAAUCAUUAAAUUGAUAUUAAUGUUAAAAAUCAUUAAUAUUACAAUAAGACGACAAGACCCUAAUAAACUUAUCAUUUAGUUGGGGCAACUCAGUAAUAAAAUUUUAUUUUGAAUUUUACAAAUCUUAUACAAUAAUACGAGACUAGUUACUAUAGGGAUAACAGCGCAAUUUCUUUUAAGAGUUCUUAUCAACAAAGAAUAUUACGACCUCGAUGUUGAAUUAAUUUAUCUACUAAAACGCAAAAGUUUAUAAAGUUAGUCUGUUCGACUUAUAAUAAAUU
rnacentral:rRNA from 1 species